rnacentral:rRNA from 2 species
UAUGGGAUUAGUUUUUAGAUUAUUUAUAGUCUAUUAAUUCAAUCCCGGGGCGUUCUAUUUGGUUAUGUAUAAUAAUAUUUAUAUUAUUUAUACCUCUAACUAGAGCGUACCUUGAGCAUAUAUGCUGUGACCCGAAAGAUGGUGAACUAUACUUGAUCAGGUUGAAGUCAGGGGAAACCCUGAUGGAAGACCGAAACAGUUCUGACGUGCAAAUCGAUUGUCAGAAUUGAGUAUAGGGGCGAAAGACCAAUCGAACCAUCUAGUAGCUGGUUCCCUCCGAAGUUUCCCUCAGGAUAGCUGGUGCAUUUAGAAAUUAUGUAAAAUAAUCUUAUCUGGUAAAGCGAAUGAUUAGAGGCCUUAGGGUCGAAACGACCUUAACCUAUUCUCAAACUUUAAAUGGGUAAGAACCUCACCUUUCUUGGUAUGAAGGUUGUGGUUGUGAUAUAAUGUGCCCAGUGGGCCACUUUUGGUAAGCAGAACUGGCGCUGUGGGAUGAACCAAACGUAAUGUUACGGUGCCCAAAUUAACAACUCAUGCAGAUACCAUGAAAGGCGUUGGUUGCUUAAAACAGCA